AUUGAACGCUGGCGGCAUGCCUAAUACAUGCAAGUCGAACGAGUGGCGGACGGGUGAGUAAUUCGUUGGAAACUGGCUUAUGGAGGGGGAUUACUACGGGAAACAGUAGCUAAUACCGCGUACCAUAGGCUGUGCCCACGUGGGCUUAGGUAGUUGGUGAGGUAACGGCGCACCAAGGCGACGAUCCCUAGCUGGUCUGAGAGGAUGACCGGCCACACGGGGACUGAGACACGGCCCAGACUCCUACGGGAGGCAGCAGGGGGGAAUCUUGGACAAUGGGCGCAAGCCUGAUGGAGCAAUGCCGCGUGAAUGAAGAAGGCUUUCGGGUUGUAAAGUUCUGUCGGUGGCGAGGCGUUAACUACAGAAGAAGCACCGGCUAACUCCGUGCCAGCAGCCGCGGUAAUUC
rnacentral:rRNA from 1 species